GAGCUUUUCGUCUAAUGGUUAGGACGCCCAUUUUUCAUAUGGGGAAUGAAAGUUCAAAUCUUUCAAGGCUCA